UACAGAUGGGCAAGCAUUUUGCUAAAUGAUUGGGUUCACAAGCGUGUGAAAGCGUUUAAUUAUUAAAAAUUGAAAGGGGAAGGAAAGUUUUCCACUGUAUUAGUAAAAUAGAGUGAAUAUGGAUAAGGAACGCCAAAAAGCGAAGGCAUUCUCUUUGAUUUUAAUAAAAAGCUGAAAACACGGAAAGUCCGAGUAUCGAAAACGGG
rnacentral:rRNA from 1 species